GACGAACGCUGGCGGCGUGCUUAACACAUGCAAGUCGAACGGAAAGGCCCUGCUAUUGUGGGGUGCUCGAGUGGCGAACGGGUGAGUAACACGUGAGUAACCUGCCCUUGACUUUGGGAUAACUUCAGGAAACUGGGGCUAAUACCGGAUAGGAGCUCCUGCUGCAUGGUGGGGGUUGGAAAGUUUCGGCGGUUGGGGAUGGACUCGCGGCUUAUCAGCUUGUUGGUGGGGUAGUGGCUUACCAAGGCUUUGACGGGUAGCCGGCCUGAGAGGGUGACCGGCCACAUUGGGACUGAGAUACGGCCCAGACUCCUACGGGAGGCAGCAGUGGGGAAUAUUGCACAAUGGGCGGAAGCCUGAUGCAGCAACGCCGCGUGCGGGAUGACGGCCUUCGGGUUGUAAACCGCUUUCGCCUGUGACGAAGCGUGAGUGACGGGAAUGGGUAAAGAAGCACCGGCUAACUACGU
rnacentral:rRNA from 1 species